UGCUAAUACUUGUUAGUACCAGCCGUCAUGUAGCCAAGCUGCUGUGCAGCAUUCCCCAGUCAAUGCUGCUCAGGCUCCUCACGUACACCCCUCCGCUUACUCCUUGUCAGCGGACUGGGGGGAAUUCGCUAACGAUUGUGAGAAAGAGAAACGGUCACUAAGCUUAAGACUCAGGUAGCUGUCACAGCGACUUUUACAAACCCUGUGUGACUCAAAAGUUUUGCCAAACCCAAAAGAGCCAGAAGAUGACUGUGGAACCGAAGCUUGGCAUUCCAGGAGGAAUCUCCACCAACCUGACUCGAGCUCAGCGUGGAACUGCGGUACCUAAACAAGACUAGAAGUUUGUCUUGUAAGAUUGACAAUACUGAUGACUACAGCUACAUCAACUACAGCUGCGACAUCAGCUACAACUACAUCAUUGUUUUAUAUACUGUACCAGCACAGGCCA